GGACUACCCGGGUUUCUAAUCCUGUUUGCUCCCCUUGCUCUCGCGCCUCAGCGUCAGGAAUCAGCUAGAAAACCGCUUUCGCCACAGGUGUUCUUCCACAUAUCUACGCAUUUCACCGCUACACGUGGAAUUCCGUUUUCUCCGCCGACCCUCCAGUAUUGAAGUUUCAAAUGCAGCUCCGAAGUUGAGCUUCGGAAUUUCACAUCUGACUUUCAGUACAGCCUACGCGCCCUUUACGCCCAAUAAUUCCGAUUAAUGCUUGCACUCUCCGUAUUACCGCGGCUGCUGGCAC
rnacentral:rRNA from 1 species